rnacentral:rRNA from 1 species
CACAUUAAACGGCGAAACUGCGAAUGGCUCAUUAAAUCAGUUAUCGUAUAUUUGAUAGUACCUACUACAUGGAUAACCGUGGUAAUUCUAGAGCUAAUACAUGCUUAAAAUCCCGACUUCGGAAGGGAUGUAUUUAUUAGAUUAAAAACCAAUGCCCUUCGGGGCUCACUGGUGAUUCAUAAUAACUUCUCGAAUCGCAUGGCCUUGUGCCGGCGAUGGUUCAUUCAAAUUUCUGCCCUAUCAACUUUCGACGGCUGGGUCUUGGCCAGCCGUGGUUACAACGGGUAACGGAGGGUUAGGGCUUGACCCCGGAGAAGGAGCCUGAGAAACGGCUACUACAUCCAAGGAAGGCAGCAGGCGCGCAAAUUACCCAAUCCCGACUCGGGGAGGUAGUGACAAUAAAUACUGAUACAGGGCUCUUUUGGGUCUUGUAAUUGGAAUGAGUACAAUUUAAAUCCCUUAACGAGGAACAAUUGGAGGGCAAGUCUGGUGCCAGCAGCCGCGGUAAUUCCAGCUCCAAUAGCGUAUAUUAAAGUUGUUGCAGUUAAAAAGCUCGUAGUUGAACCUUGGGCCUGGCUGGCCGGUCUGCCUCACCGCAUGCACUGGUCCGGCCGGGCCUUUCCCUCUGGGGAGCCGCAUGCCCUUCACUGGGUGUGUCGGGGAACCAGGACUUUUACUGUGAAAAAAUUAGAGUGUUCAAAGCAGGCAUAUGCUCGAAUACAUUAGCAUGGAAUAAUAGAAUAGGACGUCGCGGUUCUAUUUUGUUGGUUUCUAGGACCGCCGUAAUGAUUAAUAGGGACAGUCGGGGGCAUCAGUAUUCAAUCGUCAGAGGUGAAAUUCUUGGAUCGAUUGAAGACUAACUACUGCGAAAGCAUUUGCCAAGGAUGUUUUCAUUAAUCAGGAACGAAAGUUAGGGGAUCGAAAACGAUCAGAUACCGUUGUAGUCUUAACCAUAAACUAUGCCGACUAGGGAUCGGGCGGUGUUAUUUCUUGACCCGCUCGGCACCUUACACGAAAGUAAAGUUUUUGGGUUCUGGGGGGAGUAUGGUCGCAAGGCUGAAACUUAAAGAAAUUGACGGAAGGGCACCACAAGGGGUGGAGCCUGCGGCUUAAUUUGACUCAACACGGGGAAACUCACCAGGUCCAGACACAACUAGGAUUGACAGAUUGAGAGCUCUUUCUUGAUUUUGUGGGUGGUGGUGCAUGGCCGUUCUUAGUUGGUGGAGUGAUUUGUCUGCUUAAUUGCGAUAACGAACGAGACCUUAACCUGCUAAAUAGCCCGUGCCGCCUAGGCGGCACGCCGGCUUCUUAGAAGGGACCUAU